rnacentral:rRNA from 1 species
UACGGAAGGGGCAAGCGUUGUUCGGAAUCAUUGGGCGUAAAGGGCGCGUAGGUGGUUCUGUAUGUCUAUCGUGAAAGCAUACAGCUCAACUGUAUUUUGUCGGUAGAAACUGCAGGACUUGAGGCUGGGAGGGGCUGGUGGAAUUCCCUGUGUAGCGGUGAAAUGCGUAGAGAUGGGGGGAGAACACUCGUGGCGAAGGCGGCCAGCUAGACCAGUUCUGACACUGAGGCGCGACAGCGUGGGGGAGCAAACAGG